UACGUAGGGGCCGAGCGUUGUCCGGAGUUAUUGGGCGUAAAGCGCGCGCAGGCGGCUUGGCGCGCCCGACGUGAAAGCCCCCGGCUUAACCGGGGAGAGUCGUCGGGGACGGCCGGGCUUGAGGGCGGGAGAGGGUGGUGGAAUUCCCGGUGUAGUGGUGAAAUGCGUAGAGAUCGGGAGGAACACCUGUGGCGAAGGCGGCCACCUGGGCCGACCUGACGCUGAGGCGCGACAGCGUGGGGAGCAAACAGG
rnacentral:rRNA from 1 species